rnacentral:rRNA from 1 species
CAAUAUAAGUGAUGGCGACCGGCGCACGGGUGAGUAACACGUAUCCAACCUGCCGAUAACUCGGGGAUAGCCUUUCGAAAGAAAGAUUAAUACCCGAUGGUAUAAUAAAACCGCAUGGUUUAAUUAUUAAAGAAUUUCGGUUAUCGAUGGGGAUGCGUUCCAUUAGGCAGUUGGUGAGGUAACGGCUCACCAAACCCUCGAUGGAUAGGGGUUCUGAGAGGAAGGUCCCCCACAUUGGAACUGAGACACGGUCCAA